UGUGUUUUAUUUGAAUUAUAGAGAUAUCAACACAUAUGAAGGUGCUGAGGCAAUUGGGGAAAAAAAGAUUAAACAGGAAAAAGACAAACCAAUGUCUUGUGAAACUGCUGCACACUCAUCAUGACGCCCUUUACAUAUAGCUGAUAGCAUUGCUAGUGAGUUAGCAUCCAGAUGGUCCUAUGUGCAUCUAUAGCUGACUCACAGUAACUGGUAGCAGAGGCUUUGCUUUCCACUACAGGCUGUUAAUCAUGCUAUUCUGAGCCGCAGUCAGGCGUCUGUCCCUUUCCCCUGAUAUACGGCGUUUAGCAGAAUGGCAGCGAGAUGAUUAAAUCUUGUGUUGCAGAAAUGUUGCACAGAGAAAGAGACUGGGCUGUGUGCUGCUGAGCUGAUGCUGGAUGUGAUAAAGUUGUCCUUGUGAUUGGAACCCGGCCUCCCCUCCUCCCCCAUCCUGGGACUGGUUGUGGCUUGUAACCAUGGCGACAGCUGGUCUUGUUACCUGCUCAGAGGGGGAUGGAGCGGAGCUCGUGACUUCGAAGCUUAGGUUACUAGCCAUGGCGGAUGGAGGAAGGUUGAGUGGGGGGAAGGGGGGACAUCACACAAAGACCAUACUGUUCUCUGCACAUCCAUUCACUGCUCGAGCAGCCAGUGAGGGAAACAAGAUCAAUAGCAUGAAGUAGUUGAUUAGAGUAACUCAAUAUUACGACUUAAGUUUCCAGAGAUGCUUUUAGAGCGAGCUGAGAGCCGCCGUAUCAGGCCCUCUCUGUCUAUCUCUCAUGUAAGCAGACAGAAUAAUUGCCAAGCUCCACACACCAUGAAUAAACUCCUAAACGUAGGAUUGACUUCAUUGCUCCCAACGGGAAUCCUAGUGACACAUAUUUACCUCAGCCUCAUGCUGCAAUCACAUAGCUUACACUAAAAACGGAGCGACAGAGUUUAAUGUGCUCUCCCCAGAGAUCUAAAGCAGGUUUCAUGAAUUGUACACACAGAAAUUACUAUGUGUCACAGGCCUCUCAUUAGGCUCACUAAUUUGUCACCCACCCUUUUGUGGAUCUGCAGUAUGUACCUCACCCUGACUAGUCUGACUUCAAGGCCCCCUUCCGUCUUUAUUUACACACUGACUUAUUAUUGAGAGGCUGCUAUGCACAGAGAUGUAAUUAUUUUUUGACCAAAGAUGUGCCAGUUGCUUGACAACAGCAAUUACAUCUUAAUGAGUGGAAAGCUUAGUGUCAAAUGAUUGAGAUGCAGCUGGAUUGGUGCUAAAUUGCCUUUAAGCCCUUAGAAAAGCCAACAGUGACAACAUGCGCAGGCUUAAAUACACAUUUUCAUCUUCAAACAUUAUCUUGUAGGGUGUGACUUAUGUGGGGGCACUGAAGUCUGUGCUCAGUGAGUUGUGCAUUUUAUAAAUGAUUGAAGAGCCUUAUUUAAAAACUUGAAGAAUGAAGAGCAGCAGAAAGAGUAAAAUCUUUAAAGAGACAGUUUUUUGUGCUUUUCAAAUAUGCCAGUAAGACUGUCAGAGGCUCACCUUUGUAUUUUCAAGUCAACACUGAAACUGUACAUUCAGUUAGCGCUGAGCAGCUGCGCAAAUGGCUUCAGGUUUCCCCUUGAAACAGGCCAACGCAUUCCAGAGACGCAUCAAUGGGAUUAGUUGUUAUGAUGGAGCGAAGCUGGCAGUGGCCAGAUUCAGAAGGACUGUUGCCAUGGAGACUGCUCGAGGGGCCAAAAGCAGCCAGUAGACAGUCAGCUGAUGCCCUUUGGGUAAAUCCUUUCAAACAUGAUUUGCUUACUUCUUUCUUUAUUUAUUUCUCUUUCAGCUAAGAGAAAGCCCCUCACGAUGCACGAAUUGCUUCCGCCAUUUUGUAUCCAGUGAGAGGAUGUAGGUGGAAAGCUGCAAUAUCACACACACUAUCUGAUUUUACAAUAGAUCAAAAUGUAUAAUUCACUUAAAACUUCGAUGCAUCACUGUAGAGCUGCAACAAUCAGUUGAUUAAUCAAUUAGUUACCAAAACAGAAAGUCAAUCAGCAACUAUUUUGGUAAGAAAUGAUUAAUUUGAGUGAGUUUCAAGCAAAAAUGCAAAACAUUUGCUGGUUCCAGCUUCUUAAAUGUGAAUAUUUUCUAUUCUAUUUUCUGUUUUAUAUCAUUGUAAAUUGAAUAUCUUUCAGUUUUGAACUGUUUACACAGUUCAAAACACAUUUUAGAGACAAAGCAUUAAUUGAUUAAUUAAAGAAUUGAAAAUGAAAAUAAUCAUUAGUUGCAGCCCUAUAUCAAAAAAGAUUAAAAGAUUAUUAAAAAAGAGGCCCUCUGUGUCCAAGCCCACUUCUUUGUGUUACACUCCAUGUUAAUGUAUUCAGCAUGUCACCACGUGAGUCACAUGUUGCAUGUGUUAUACGUGCCGUCUCUGUCGAACAGGCCGCUGUCUGUGUGAGCGGUGGUGAAUCGGACCUGUUUGAACGGAUAAUGCGGCCCAGCACGUCAAAGAGGACAAUGUGAUCUUUUCUGGUCCGGAAGAGAGUGUGUAACACUAUCUGCAGCUUAAAUGGAGCGAGACAAAGAGUCAGGGGAUCGUCAUGUAUCACUACUGCCACUAUCCUGCAGGAGACAACAGUGGGGCUGUGCGAGCUGUGUUGCAUUGCGUGCUACAAAGGCCAUUCCUAAACAAGACCUCCAUGUGAACCAGAUGGACUCUGUGUGGGUUGAUUAUCUUCCUGGCCAUGAAAUAAGGUGCAAAUAGGAGCCAUCUUUGACCCUGGCCUUGGAGGAAGCUUAGAUUGUAAUAUCUAAUGAAACCCCUCCCGAGAGGUCUGCUCCUGCCGCUCGCCACCUUUUCAUCUAGAUCUGCACCGCAAAUGAGAAAAGGAGGCUGUUGAACAUCCAACAUCUUGUCUGAAUUAGACUCGAACCCUUGGGCAGGAACAGGGGGAGAUCUGCUCUCAACGUCUCCCCUCGGCUUCUCACGGAGGGAGGAAAGGGUGUGGGGUCCCGUUUACAGCUGACUCUCAUGCUGCAAACAUUUUGCCGUAUUGGCACUUCUGAUCUGGUCAUGAUGAACUCAUGGGCCUGAUGAAAUCAUCAAGAGUUUCUCCCCAUGUGGCCACACAGUCAUCGUGCAUCACUGUUUAAUGUCCAGGUUUGUAAAGUGUCAUUAUUGCUGUCUGCCUGUGGUAAGUCUAGAGACUCAACAACUGAGCCUGAUUCAGAGAAAGGCAUGACUAGUUUGUCCACAGCAGGUGUUUAGUUGAUCGUUCCAAUCUUAUUCAGUUGCCUUCUCUCUCUCUGGCCGAAAAGGACAACCCUUUACCGCUUUGAUCACGAAAGCAGAUUGAGAAUCGAUGCUAGUGGCCCAGGCAAUAACACUGGUGUCUGUAGAAAAAAAGAUUAUGCAAAUACUAGUAUCAGUCAGAUGAAGAAACAUUAAAGGUUCAGACUACAGGAGUUUUAAAAUCCUAACCGAUUUUUAAAUCGGUUGCAUCACGCACAUAAGGAGAAAUUACACAGAUGAUAUUCUCUCUGAUCUUAAACAUGCUUACACUACAAGAUUUGAAAAUAAUGGUGCAUCACACAAUACAGGAUAUUAUUAUUAUUGUUGCGCCAGAGGAAGCAAUGCACCACCUCACAUGAUCUCAUGGAGAACCAGAUGUAAACAAAAUGGAGACUGACGUGGUGCAACAUCUUGAUGUAGUAAUGCUUUGCAGUGAGAAAAAACAAAAGCAAAAGGCACAAGUCUGGAUGAGAAAAUGGUUGGGGAGGCGCGGUCAACACGGGUUGUCUAUUCUUCAGUGAGAACUGGAGGUGAGAUUUUAACAGUCAGUUUUAAUAUCUGUCAACAGCAGAGUUGUCUCUCUCAUUGUCUACUGUGGUCCCGCUCGGAAAGUACUGAUGUGAUGCAUCCAGAUUUUAAAUCCUAAAUAUCAAACAUGUUUGAAAUUAUCGGGGCUGUCCCGAUGAGUGUGUGAGCAGUUUGGGAGGUUUAAGACUGGAUCUGUAAACCCCUCACAUUGCCAGAAAAUAUGUGCCGAACAUCGGUACUAACCAAAACUCCUGUAGUCUAGGCCCAGCUGUAGGAGUCAGAUGAGAAGAUCGUUACCAGUCGCAUGUCUGUGCGUUAAGUAAGGAAUUAGCUAGCCUGAUAAUCAGACUGAAUUGCUAUUUUGUUUCACUUCAUUCAGCCUCACAUCGCGUUCAUGUUAGCCCAUUUCUUGUAGGGGGUGAGAGGUGGGGAUUUUGUUUUGUUUUGUCCUAACCAAAAGCGAGUGACAGAUCCAUCCCAGCAACGUCAUUUUCAGUCGACAGGGUAGCUGUUGUAGCUGUUGCUAGCAGAUGUUAAAAUUUUGGAGUUUAAGAGUUUUAUUUCUGUAAGUCGGCUUACAACACAGCUAGGUCUCAUCCACUCUUGUCACCAGUUUUAUGGCCAUUUGGUUUGUCAGUUGUUUUCAUGGAUGUAGCUAGGUAGCUUGCAAGCUAUGCGGGAAGAUGAUAGCAUUAUUCUUAAUCCCGCCUACAAGGCUUUGAUUGGUCGACUCUUUCUCCAACUGGUGGAAGCCAGCAAUGGGCAUAACAUCAGAGCUACUGUAUUUGAAUAACUGACUGAGUGAGAGAUUUGGGCGCAAAUUCAGAGGUCUGGAACAAGACUAGUGAUUAAUCUAGCUUUGCAUAAAGACUGGAAGCAGAGGGAACAGUUUGCCUGGCUCUCUCCAAAAAUGAGUCUACAAUCACCUCUACACCUCACUAAUUAAUACUUUAUAUCUAAUUUCUUUAAUCCAUAAACAAACAGAAAUGUAAGAAUGUGGAUUUGUAAUUAUGUGCUGAAACUAUUUCUUCACAAACAACCCUAACCCAACAAAUAACCCUAACCCAGACCUGUCAUCUUCUGUGGUGCUUAGCCUGAACCCAAUUUAGCCUUAUCACUAACCACUCAUCUUCUCGCCUAAUCAUAACCUCACAUUAACCUAAAUUGAGCCCUGACACCAAUCACGGACAGCAGCGCUGUGGGGAAAACAGUUCAAAGGGGAAAUGCACUUUGACACAAGAAACAUAUUUCAUGAAUUAAUUGAUUAUUAAGUAAACAUUUCAAGUUGAGCAACAAGUUGAGCUCUCCAAUAUUAACUGCCAAUCUCUCAAGUGAAGAUAAACUUGAUUUAAGUAUGCUUCUUUUUUUCCCCUGUUGAGAAGGUUGGCAAAAGCAAACAUGGCCAUGGCCAAACAUUUCUCCAUGAAUUGAGUCAUUGGACCUUCAUGCGGGCAAUGAGGGGACCCUGUCAGUUAAUUAGAGGAGGGUGGUGACGGCUCCAUCCAUCACCUUACGUUUUCUUUCACUCUGAGACAAGUCCAGUUGGAUCAUUUCCCUCAUCCGUCAAACCGGAGAACGUUUCCAACUGCAAAGACCACCAAUGGGUGGAGAGCUGGAAUGAAAUCUUUUGAGCAACACACUGACAAGAGCUCGACCUCCAAGGAAAGGUCAUGCGGUGUUACCAUGGCAACAGAGAACACCACCGGUAUGUUAAAAAGGUAGCCAGGAGGGGUGUAGGGGGCGUCUAAACUGAAUCCAUGGCUGCGGAAUUUCAGUGGGUGGGUGCGGAUGCAUGUUGAAUAUUAAAAUAUUCUCUCUAAAUGAAGUCGGAGUAGCUGUGCCUCUAUUCAUUACACGACUCUGAUGUUCCAUAACCAUUAACAUCUGUUAAAGCCCAAUACGCACCACAACACAUCCAGCUCUCUGGACAAGGGGGGUAUUUUUAGACAUGUACUCAUUAGUGCUGAGAGAUCAUUUGUAAUGAAGGACGGGAGGGGAGAAAGAGGCCAAUAACACAGUGAAAGAUGGCAUCCAUAUUCAAAUACCUGAGGAGCGAGUGGGUUUAACUGGUAGUGUACUGAGUGGGGGUGAGAUGUGAGGGGCAGGCAAAGAUUUUGAGGAGAGUGAUGCAAUAAAAUAGUCAGGGCAAGGUCAAGGAAAUUAUACAGCACAUUAUGCAUUAUGUGAAAGCUUCUAGCUCUGUUUCUAAAACAUAGACAACAUAUGUAACCUCUAACUAAUUACAUAUGCUUAAAAGACUGCUAUGUUCCCUGGACAGGGAUCAAACCUAUUGUUCUUGCUGGGAUCGUCAGUUCUAUUAGCAGAUCGGCUAUCAUUCAGAAUUACGCAUGGUAUCAAUAAUUGGACUAUCCUCACUGAGAACAGUUCAAUUAUUUCACUCUGAAAUUAUAUAUAUAUAUCCUGCAGUCAGCAUGUACCAUAUUUAGUGUUAUCUGCUUUUCUAUAAUGAGACUCUGUUUUAAUUUGCUGCAGGAGGGUAAGUGCCAUGCAAUCCGUCUCUUUCUCCAGGUGGAGGUUAGAUUGGAUAAGAAUAUAGUGCCAUUGUCUAACAAAGUGAGAACACAAACACAGAUAGGGUGGUAGACAGCCAUGCCACUUCUACAGCUCUUCCAGUGGGAUGUAGCCUGAUACAACAGUGCCCCCUGGAGGACACACUAGUUAGUCAAAGUGUCUGUGAACUUAAAGCAACCAGGGGCAAAUCCAGGUGUUUUUACAGACUGAAAAUUAUUCAGAAUAUAAUGUUUAUGUAAUGUAAUUACUACAAUGCACUUAUGUGAACAUUUGUCUAAUUACCAGAUCCUGCACUGAAUGCUUAAUGUGUCAAAGUGACAUAUAACCAAGCCAAAAAAACAAAAACAAACAACGCACAAAACACUAGCAAAAGCCAUGCAGUCCAAAUAUGUUUUUGCGUGCCCCGGCCUUGUCCCACCAGGCUGGUGCUGUCACAGGCAAAACAGGAAAACACAAUGGAGUGAUGGAGGGACUAAUUUGCCAGAGUGGCCUUUGCUGCCACACAAUUAGCAGCAGAACAGUGGGCACACCAAAUAUCCAAGUGCCACUCUACAGGGAGGCCAACUUGGUCUGCGGCUCCAAAUAGAGUUGGCCAAUUUGGCCGGUGACUUCACUGGCGUGUGAAGCCAGUCAUUGUCCUCCCAGGCAGCCGGCAGAUGGGAGAGAAACGUGGCCAGGUGAUGAGAGGGACAGUCACUGAUGGAGUGAUAAUAUCAGUAUUAAUAUUUAUUCAUGAUUGGAAAUGAAAACAUCUGAUGAAAUCCAGCUUCAUCACUAGUGCAGUGCAGUUGACUCCGCCAUCUAAUGUUUUGUCUUUGUAACGGUAUGUUUCAUUCUAUUUUUACAUUUUGCAAUGGUUUUGCAUAUGAAGGACCAAUUGUCUUACAAGAAAAGUAAGAGUGACUGUAACAAUAAAUAUAAAUGUAUAAAUAUGAAGGGUAUGGUAUAGUUAAGAGAUAGUUUGUUAGUAUUUAAUUUACAAAAUAUGUGUAUAUAUGUGUAUAUGUACAUAUGUGUGUGCACAUUGUAUAUUGUUCAUCAUUAGUAUUUGACUUCAUGUUCAAAAGCAAAGGUACAAAAACAGUGCUCCUGUAUUGCUGUCCCAGGAUGAAUUUUGUUUUGUUAAAUUUAGUGUAAUUCUCUGUUCAUUCACUGAUUCCUUGUUAUUCUCCAUAAGACAGAGUUUAGGUUAUCUGUUAAAUUAGCCAUAACCUUAAUGUAACUGAGCAGAGUGGUAUCAAUCAUCUCAUCUACGUCUCAGCAAGAAAACGAAUAAGCGUAUUUCCCAAAAUGUCUAACUAUUCCUUCAAAAAUCAAUUAUUAGUUGGGCUCUAAUUUGUAUGUAUGUUUGUUGCAUCAGCACAAAAGAUGUAUUCAUUUGGGUUUAUGAAUUGGUGUUUCCAUUGGAUCCUACAUUUGAAAUGAAAUAAAACAGUUAAAACAAA